rnacentral:piRNA from 1 species
UACUUCUGGUGUUCUAAGGAUAGGUC